rnacentral:rRNA from 1 species
GAAUAAACGCUGGCGGCGUGCCUUAUGCAUGCAAGUCGAACGGACCGCAAGGUCAGUGGCGAACGGGUGAGUAACACGUAGGAACCUGCCCGGAAGUGGGGGAUAACACCUCGAAAGAGGUGCUAAUACCGCAUGUGGUCUUCGGACCAAAGCCCUCGGGCGCUUUCGGAGGGGCCUGCGGCGGAUUAGCUUGUUGGUGGGGUAACGGCCUACCAAGGCGACGAUCCGUAGCUGGUCUGAGAGGAUGGUCAGCCACACUGGGACUGAGAUACGGCCCAGACUCCUACGGGAGGCAGCAGCAAGGUAAUUUUGCGCAAUGGACGAAAGUCUGACGCAGCAACGCCGCGGU